rnacentral:rRNA from 1 species
GGAGAAACCUUUGGAUCGCAAGACCUUGCGCUCAUUGAGCGGCCGAUGCCUGAUUAGCUAGUUGGUGAGGUAAAGGCUUACCAAGGCGACGAUCAGUAGCUGGUCUGAGAGGACGACCAGCCACACUGGGACUGAGACACGGCCCAGACUCCUACGGGAGGCAGCAGUGGGGAAUUUUGGACAAUGGGGGAAACCCUGAUCCAGCCAUGCCGCGUGAGUGAAGAAGGCCUUCGGGUUGUAAAGCUCUUUCAGCCGGAACGAAACGGUCACGGCUAAUACCUGUGACUACUGACGGUACCGGAAGAAGAAGCACCGGCUAACUACGUGCCAGCAGCCGCGGUAAUACGUAGGGUGCGAGCGUUAAUCGGAACUACUGGGCGUAAAGCGUGCGCAGGCGGUUUUGUAAGUCAGAUGUGAAAUCCCCGGGCUUAACCUGGGAACUGCGUUUGAAACUACAAAGCUAGAAGGG